GGAGAUUUAGCUCAGUGGUUCCAGCACCUGCCUCACAAGCUCGAGGACCUGAGUUCGAUCCCCAGUACCUCCC
rnacentral:tRNA from 1 species